rnacentral:rRNA from 1 species
AUUGAACGCUGGCGGCAGGCCUAACACAUGCAAGUCGAACGAGUGGCGGACGGGUGAGUAAUGUCUGGGAAACUGCCUGAUGGAUGGGGAUAACUACUGGAACCGGUAGCUAAUACCGCAUACCAUCAUAUGUGCCCAGAUGGGAUUAGCUAGUUGGUGGGGUAACGGCUCACCAAGGCGACGAUGCCUAGCUGGUCUGAGAGGAUGACCAGCCACACUGGGACUGAGACACGGACCAGACUCCUACGGGAGGCAGCAGUGGGGAAUAUUGCACAAUGGGCGCAAGCCUGAUGCAGCCAUGCCGCGUGUAUGAAGAAGGUCUUCGGGUUGUAAAGGACUGUCAGCGGGGAGGCGUUAACCGAAGAAGAAGCACCGGCUAACUCCGUGCCAGCAGCCGCGGUAAUAC